rnacentral:rRNA from 1 species
UACGAAGGGGACUAGCGUUGUUCGGAUUUACUGGGCGUAAAGCGCGCGUAGGCGGAUCGCUAAGUCAGGGGUGAAAUCCCAGGGCUCAACCCUGGAACUGCCUUUGAUACUGACGAUCUGGAGAUCGGGAGAGGUUGGUGGAAUUCCGAGUGUAGAGGUGAAAUUCGUAGAUAUUCGGAGGAACACCAGAAGCGAAGGCGGCCAACUGGCCCGAUACUGACGCUGAGGCACGAAAGCGUGGGGAUCAAACAGG